GCCAGCCCGCUCAGAAACUUAAAGGAAGUUGACGGGGACCCGCACAAGCGGUGGAUGAUGUGGAUUAAUUCGAUGCAACGCGAAAAACCUUACCUACCCUUGACAUGGUCGGAAUCCCGCUGAGAGGUGGGAGUGCUCGAAAGAGAACCGGCGCACAGGUGCUGCAUGGCUGUCGUCAGCUCGUGUCGUGAGAUGUUGGGUUAAGUCCCGCAACGAGCGCAACCCUCGUCCUUAGUUGCCAGCAUUCAGUUGGGCACUCUAAGGAGACUGCCGGUGUUAAACCGGAGGAAGGCGGGGAUGACGUCAAGUCCUCAUGGCCCUUAUGUCCAGGGCUACACACGUGCUACAAUGGCCGGUACAAAGGGUAGCAAGACCGCGAGGUGGAGCUAAUCUCAAAAAACCGGUCUCAGUUCGGAUUGGAGUCUGCAACUCGACUUCAUGAAGGCGGAAUCGCUAGUAACCGCGAAUCAGCAGGUCGCGGUGAAUACGUUCCCGGGCCUU
rnacentral:rRNA from 1 species